ensembl:snRNA U1 U1 spliceosomal RNA
ACACAGGAUUUGGAACUAAGAGACCAUGAUCACGAAGGUGGUUUUACCAGGGCGAGGCUUAUCCAUUGCUCUCCAAAUGUGCUGACCUCUGCGACUUCCCCAAGUGUGGGAAACUUCACUGCAUAAUUUGUGGUAGUAGGGGGCUAUAUUCCUGCUCUCCUCCC